rnacentral:rRNA from 1 species
GCGGCGUGCCUAAUACAUGCAAGUCGAACGCUUUUUCUUUCACCGGAGCUUGCUCCACCGAAAGAAAAAGAGUGGCGAACGGGUGAGUAACACGUGGGUAACCUGCCCAUCAGAAGGGGAUAACACUUGGAAACAGGUGCUAAUACCGUAUAACACUAUUUUCCGCAUGGAAGAAAGUUGAAAGGCGCUUUUGCGUCACUGAUGGAUGGACCCGCGGUGCAUUAGCUAGUUGGUGAGGUAACGGCUCACCAAGGCAACGAUGCAUAGCCGACCUGAGAGGGUGAUCGGCCACACUGGGACUGAGACACGGCCCAGACUCCUACGGGAGGCAGCAGUAGGGAAUCUUCGGCAAUGGACGAAAGUCUGACCGAGCAACGCCGCGUGAGUGAAGAAGGUUUUCGGAUCGUAAAACUCUGUUGUUAGAGAAGAACAAGGAUGAGAGUAAAAUGUUCAUCCCUUGACGGUAUCUAACCAGAAAGCCACGGCUAACUACGUGCCAGCAGCCGCGGUAAUACGUAGGUGGCAGCGUUGUCCGGAUUUAUUGGGCGUAAGCGAGCGCAGGCGGUUCUUAAGUCUGAUGUGAAAGCCCCCGGCUCACCGGGGAGGGUCUUGGAAACUGGGAAACU